UACUCUUUCCAAACGGUUGAUCUUUCUUUUGGGUCUCUUUAAAUAUCACCGAUAUGGUCUGGAGAAGAUUGCUAGCGUGUCCUGGUUCUCAGUGGCCCAAAGAAUAAAGUGGAGCAGCAGAGACAUUGAAAGACGAUGAUGACGAUGAUGACGAUGAUGACGAUGACGAUGAUGAUAAAAGAGGUGAGUUUUAGGUACAAGGCUUUAAGAAAAGUUUUCUUCUGCUCUAGGUACUAUGAAUCUGUACCUUCCUACCAACUCUCUUCUCUGUUAAGUGGCUAAACAUUCCUAAAUCCAAAAACAGAAAGACAAAAAAACAAAAAAAAAAAAAAUUAAAUGAAAACAAAAAUGUCAAAAGUCAAAACUCAAACCAACCAACCUGAAAAAAAACAAAACAAAACAAAACAAAACAAAACAAAAAACCCACCACAAGCUUUCUCUAGGAGCCAGACUUAGUGGCAAGGCGGUUUGGUGGGGGGGGGGGGAUGCUGAUGGAGCCCAAGGUCAGGCUGGAGAACCGCAGACUCCCGGCUUUGCAGCGCGGUCGCCCGGCACAGGGUGGCGCUCGCUGUCCGCGUAGAAGGUGCAGGCGGCCG
rnacentral:lncRNA from 1 species